UACGUAGGGUGCGAGCGUUAAUCGGAAUUACUGGGCGUAAAGUGUGCGCAGGUGGCCGCGCAAGUCGAGUGUGAAAUCCCCGAGCUUAACUUGGGAAUUGCGCUCGAAACUACGUGGCUCGAGUGUGGCAGAGGAAGGUGGAAUUCCACGUGUAGCGGUGAAAUGCGUAGAGAUGUGGAGGAACACCGAUGGCGAAGGCAGCCUUCUGGGCCAACACUGACGCUCAUGCACGAAAGCGUGGGGAGCAAACAGGAUAGAUACCCUG
rnacentral:rRNA from 1 species